rnacentral:rRNA from 1 species
CCUACGGGCGGCAGCAGUGGGGGAUAUUGGACAAUGGGGGGAACCCUGAUCCAGCGACGCCGCGUGAGUGAAGAAGUAUUUCGGUAUGUAAAGCUCUGUCAGCAGGGAAGAGAGAAAUGACGGUACCUGACCAAGAAGCCCCGGCUACCUACGUGCCAGCAGCCGCGGUAAUACGGAGGGGGCAAGCGUUAUCCGGAAUUACUGGGGGUAAAGGGAGCGUAGACGGUUAAGUAAGUCUGGAGUGAAAGGCCGGGGCCCAACCCCGGGACUGCGCUGGAAACUAUUGACCUUGAGUGCAGGAGAGGUAAGUGGAAUUCCAAGUGUAGCGGUGAAAUGCGUAGAUAUUAGGAGGAACACCAGUGGCGAAGGCGGCUUACUGGACUGUAACUGACGUUGAGGCUCGAAAGCGUGGGGAGCAAACAGGAUUAGAUACCCCUGUAGUC